rnacentral:rRNA from 1 species
UACGAGGGGGGCGAGCGUUGUUCGGAAUUAUUGGGCGUAAAGGGUGCGUAGGCGGUUUGGUAAGUCUUGUGUGAAAUCUACAGGCUCAACUUGUAGUCUGCACGAGAAACUGCCGGGCUUGAGUAUGGGAGAGGUGAGUGGAAUUCCUGGUGUAGCGGUGAAAUGCGUAGAUAUCAGGAGGAACACCUGUGGCGAAAGCGGCUCACUGGACCAUAACUGACGCUGAGGCGCGAAAGCUAGGGGAGCAAACAGG